CAACAUUUCUUCUUCUUCUUCUAAAAAAAAAAUCGUGAAGCCCCCUUCUCUCUCUAGAACUUCUCUUCCGCUCACUCUCUCGCAGUCUCUCUCUCCCAUGUCGGCCACGACACAACUUGUCGUCGACAACGCGACCGAAAACCCGAAGUCACCGAUUCUCCCUCUGCCUCACCGAUAUUUCUCUCUUCUCUUAUCAACCAUCACCGUCCAUUGAUCGGAGUACGUUCGAUGCAUUUGCCACCGUCAAACUCGAGGUCGGAAGUUUUGGUUGGAAUUUGGCUAGAUCAAAGUGGGGAAGGCGUAAAAUUCCGAGGGAUCGAGUAAUUGAUUGUUGCGAACCAAAGGCCAAGUGUUGAUUUAACGCUCGUCAUCAGUCAUAGAUCUCCAUUAUGCUUGUAUGCUUAUAGUAAAUUUUUGCAUCAUGGAGUAGUUAGAUGUGAUGAGAGUGAGGUUAAGAACUUGUGUUGAAUUUCCCUCUUAGAACGAAAUCAUGUGUAUGUAACUUUUAAGCUGAUUGUGAACUUUACUGAAACUCUGAAACUGUUUGGAUAAGUGUGUGGUGAGACACACUUGCGGCGUUAUGGAGUUUUGAAGUUAAGUUACAUAUAGAAGUGCAAAAUCUCUCCUUUUUAGGUUUGGCUAACUCAUAUUUUAGGGGAGAUGCUGCCGAAAUUUUUAAUGAUUUUUUUUUUAAAGGUGUUUUAUAAAUCUUAUCUUUGAGAAAGAUUGUUUAAGGGAGUAAAUUCACACCACGAUCUAAGUUAGAGGGGAAAACUUAGAACGGGGUGUGACAGAUAAACAAUCAUGUCGACAAUAGUAAUUGACUUUUUAGAUCAUGUCAAAAUGAUAUUUAGACAAUCUUGAUAUUCUUGAAUAUGAGGAAGAUGAAGUGGUUUCAAAGAAUCUUGCCGAAAAUGGUGAGAAUGAAAUAGAACAUUUAAACAGAAGAAUUAAUUGUUUAAAAAUAGAAGAAAGAAAAUCUGGAAGAGGAGAUAAAGAAAUCUGAAAGAGAAAAUGAAUAAACCGUAAUGUUCAAGGGAUAUAUGACAGUAGGCGUUGGACAACAACAACGUGGCUUUGGACGACAACGACAAUGACAGCGAGGUUUAAAGAUUUUUGCACUAUCUAUGGGCUUUUUAUUUUUCUUUUUUCCCUAUUUUACUUUUAGAAACAUUUUCCAUUCUCCGUUGUGGUUAAAGCUCUAAUUAAUUUCAUCUUGUCAUCAGGCUCCCUAAAAGAUUUCACAUCCCUGCGAUUUUUUCUAAAGGCCCUAGCUAGGUAAUUGUCUGUCACGCUCUUCGCCAUGUUCUCCCACCACUGGCCUUUCACCUUCAACUCGUCCAUCCAUAACUCCUUUUUCUUCUUUUCGCCCAUUGAAAUUACUUUCACUUCUAAAGAAAACCAACAAACCUUCGUAGAUGGAGGCGUUUACUGGAAGCCAUUGAAUUGUAAGAAAUCUAAAAAAUUCCAUCUAUGGGAUUUAAGACCAACAAGUACACCUUAAUUUGCUUGAUUUUGGCCUCCACAAACUCUAUGCUUUUGUGAGUAUUGAGUGGUGUUGUGCUUUACAUUGAAGAGAACUCAAAAUCGACCUUUUCAACCUGUGACCGCCAUUAGCCUCGAAAAUUUGAUAUGCCGACAGUACCAACAACUGACGAUGCACCGUAACGGACCUUUAUCUUCAAUUCUGCGUUCAAGGUUCUGAGAAUCGACUACAUGACACCAUAGGCCUCAACGAGGUUCAUCAGCUAGUAAUAACUCAACAUGAUUCCAACGAAAUGGAGUGAUUGGUGGCUACAAAAGAGUCAUUGGUGGGUCAUCCAAUGAUCACAAUACCAAUAUGCUCAUGGAAAAGCAUGUUCAAACUUUCUUCGCUAUUUGUCUUUAAGACAACUUGGUGGAUUUGAUAUACACUAUAGGAUGUUUUGUUUGUGAUUAAGUUUUGUUUAUCUAAUGAAAUUAUAUUAACUUCAU